rnacentral:rRNA from 1 species
AAUGAAACUAGAUAUGACUUAGUGGCGGACGGGUGAGUAACACGUGAGCAACCUGCCUUUCAGAGGGGGAUAACAGUUGGAAACGGCUGCUAAUACCGCAUAAGCCCACGGCUCGGCAUCGAGCAGAGGGAAAAGGAGCAAUCCGCUUUGAGAUGGCCUCGCGUCCGAUUAGCUAGUUGGUGAGGUAAUGGCCCACCAAGGCGACGAUCAGUAGCCGGACUGAGAGGUUGACCGGCCACAUUGGGACUGAGAUACGGCCCAAACUCC